UCAGCAACGCUACUAUAGCAGCCCAGCACAACCGCCAAGCCAGGGCCGGCCUACUUAACCUGACAGCUUUGCUGGGCCGCUUCGUGUCUCAAGCCGCGGCAGAGGGGGAAAUCCAGGCAGAGCACGCCAUCUCCAUCGCCGCGACUCGCCCUCCUGUCCGCGUCUCCCUGCCCCUUCUCCUCUAGCAGGAGGAGCACGAGCCAAGGCGUGCCACCUCCGAUUCUGCAAUGCUUCUAACGGCCAGCUCCGCAGCAUUCCAUUCGAUCAUCCGUCCGAUUGAAUCCCUUGCUCCAGCCGCUAGAUGAGCUGGAGAUGUCGGAUGUGUCCACGGUGUUGAAUGUGCCUCAGGAUCUGAAUGAACUGCAGGCUAGGCAUACCACUCUCUUGUCCAGCGCCGUUCUUUGUGUGUGUGCCUCUAAUUCUUAGUUUGUUUCAGAUCUCGGAAGAACCAAAAGAUCCUCUGCACUGCACACUUUCGCCAAUGCCUGAAGAUGG